rnacentral:lncRNA from 1 species
AGUUGCUGAAGUUCAAUGAGUUGUAUUUGCAAUUUGUUGCUUCUGAGAAUACCCCAAACAAUACGAUGUUAACACUAUUAUACAGUUACUUUCCGUAGUUAAUGAAAUGGGAUAAGCAAGAAUAUAAUGGCCAACGUGAUCUUGACCAAGUUGCUGGAAGAAUUACUGCUGCUUUUUAAGAGAUAAAUUCAGGCAAUUUUAUGAAUACAUGAGUUAGAAUCACAUCCAAUGGCCAACGUAGGGGAAAAAUCUUUUUUCUUUUUUUAUUUAUAUUUUUACCCUGAUUCUAAUUUUUUAAGUAAAAAUAAUACUAUUCACGUGCCUUGGCAGCGUGAUUUACACCCAAUUUAGCCAUGUCAGCUAAAAUGCUUCCAUAUAGGCAUUUUCAAUGGUCAAAAGUGUUUAUUAAUACUCAUUUUAUUAAGUUUGAGUGUUCAAAUGGAAAAAUUUAAAGUUCGUGUAUCGACUUUCAAAACCCUUACAAGUUUAAGUGGCUAAAAAGUCAUUACGCCUAUUUAAGACUAAUUUGAAAUCUAAUAUAAGGCUACUAUUAUAUACAUGCUUGGGAUAGAUGUGUUACACCUUUAAUCAUUUUGGAUAAAGGAGUUGGGCCAACUUAAAGAAUGAGACCCGCUACAAUAUUCUGUAAUUAAAUAGACAUCGAGUAGCAACAAAUCUCGUCUCCUACUUUGGUGUAAAUUGCAGUGGUGUCCAAACACUAUUAUACACAAAGUAGCAGCAUUUCUAAGUGUCAUUGUAUCCAUAUAAAAAAACUGUUUGACAUGACCGUCACAUUCACACCACAAACACGCUCCACACACUUUCCCUUUCUUCGUUUGACCACAACUAUAUAUGACAUCAUAAUGUUUGAAGACUACUAUUUCUGUAUCUCAUUCUUCUUAAUAUAAACAAAGGCUAAUAAUACUAAUGAAACUAUAUCUGCUAGGAAAAGAUGAUGAAUUAUACAGAUAGUGGGAUUAAACCAUGAAUUUUGAUGCAAGAAUGUCUUUUAGUUCCAUUUGACUCCUGUGAAUCAAACACUUAAUAGAAAAUUCAUGCCAGCAUGUCCAAUCUCAAACAUUUACGGCAUGUUCACAUACAUAUUGAAGUCAUCCUAUUUGAUAAAAGAUUAUAUGGGAACACCUAUGUUGAACGAGAAGUCGAACCAACAAGCAUUUUUAAAUUUUCACAUCCAAGCAUGAAGAGGAAUCACAUUAACUCAAGGGUACACUACUCAACUCCCCCAUUACUAUUUAUUAAUUUAUUAUUAUUAUUUUAUUAUUUAUUUUUAGUUUAAUCUUUAUAUAUACCUAAUUAUGUUUAUGUAAUAUUUUUAUAAUAUUAAUAUUAUAUCUUAGCUUUGGUGUAUAAUUUUAAUAAAUUAAUUUUCGUGCAUUUAUUAUUUUUAUGUAAAAUUAUAAAUUAAUUAUACAAGAAAUAUAUAAUUAUCUCAAAAUAUAAAUGGUGCAAAUAUAAAAUAUUAGAUAUUGAUAAAAAUGAAAUGUGCGAAUAUAAAAUAUUAUAUGUUGCUAAAAUUAAAAAGUGAAAUCAACGAUUUCAAGAAUUUUUAGCUCGAUAUAGAAGAAUUAAGGACAAAGAUACUCAUUGCACUUUGUAAUGCAUUUGUAUGGGUCAAAAUUUGAUUUCAUGAUAAUGAACGAGCCCAACGCAUUUAUUAAAGCAUGGUCAUGAUUAAUAAAUGGUAUGGCCAUUAUUUAACAAGAUUAUAGGGCAGUUACCUGACGUGACAACUAAGGUCGCGGUCUGGUCGUCCUUACGAGGGCGUCCCCUAUAUGUGGUCCCAACCCCUAAGCGCCAGCUGGUAGAUCCCCUGGCUAUAAAUACUAAGAGAAAGAACCCUAAAAGGGGGCUGCUUCUUCUUCUUUUCACAUCCACUUCGAAAAGAUGAGAUGAUACAUCCCUAUAAGGCUCUGAACCUCCCUAUGGAGAGGCAGACCAAACCAAUGUGAUUAAUAAGAAAUCUUCAUCCUCCUCCAUUUAACUUAUUACUACUGUCUCCUGUAUUUUAUUCUUUUGAUCUUUGGAUUUAUUACGAUCUGCUAUGAUUGGCCCUCUCUUUAUUUUUAUUGUUUUAUGCUUAUAAAGUGAAUGAAAACUUUGGGCUAAACAAUUUGGCGCCGACUGUGGAGAUUUCAUAGCAGAAUUACGUAGUUUAUCCUUAGACCGAAAAAGGAAAAUUAACAAUCCAGCUCGAAUGAGCUCAAGUGGCAUAUCGGAUCAUAGGGAGUCAAAAACCUCGAGAUGAGCUUGCUUCCACAUCCCUGCGUCUCUGAGCAAAGGGAAGAAGAAGAAGAAGAAGCAGAUCCCCCAUCCGUUUGGGAAAAAUAGGCCUAAGGUACGUCACCCCCUCUCCACACGGGAUCCUGCCAAAAGGGAGGACAGCAUGAAAUCGUCUCUCAAACUUAUGCUACGCGCCUUCAAAUAUUACAAAGGUUCAACUACGGUUGAACAUCAGCUCAGGCCACGUGCCUUCACUCGAAAGUUCAAUUACAGUUGAAUUGGGACUCAGGCUAUGUGCCUUCAAUACAGGCUAUGCUCCUUCGACUCAGGCUAUGCGCCUUCACCCAAAAGGUUCAACUACGGUUGAACUGAGACUCGGGAGAUGCGCCAUAAGAUAUUACAAUGGUUCAACUACAUUUGAACAUAAAUUCAGGCUACGUGCCAUCGACUCAGGCUACGCGCCUUCAAAAAUUACUAAAGUUCAACUACGGUUGAACGACAACUCAGGCUAUAUGCCUUCACCCAAAAGGUUCAACUAAGGUUGAACUGGGAAUAGGGCUAUGCGCCUUCAAUUUAGGCUACGCGCCUUCAAAUAUUAGAAAUAUUCAACUACGGUUGAGCGUCAAUUCAGGCUAUGCGCCUUCACCCAAAAAGUUCAACUACGGUUGAACUGGGACUCAGGCCAAGUGCCUCCGCCAAUAUGAAUUACAAAAGAAUUCAACUAUAAGUUAAACCAGGACUCAGGCUACAUGCCCCUGUCAUAAAAGCCGCAAACUCAACCACGGACGAAUUGAAUCCAAUGACACACGUCCCAAUGGCUAUGGGCUAGGCCGCGAUUAGGGGAGAACGAGCGCUCCAGACGUCCAAGCACGGACGAACCCCAGGUCGGGACUAGUGCCCCGCCAUUCAAGUAAGUACGACUAACUUAAAACUAAAAUGUCGGCCCGCGUAAAGUUCGGCCCAAGUCGAACUACAAAACUGUAUUUUUCGUUACCACGGCCAGUAGUUCGACUAGCCCGAACUGGGACUAAGGCUAUGUGCCGCCACUGCCCAAAGAAACUAUAACUAACUCCUGUCACGCAGAGGAAGGUGACGACCAAAAGCGUCUAUCUACGGCCAAGGCCAUCUGCACCAAUCGCCUCCUAAGGCAAAGGGUCGGUUAUACAAUGGUCGAAACCACCUAACCAGUCAAGACUAUUUACAUGCCCACUGGGAAAACUCUAAAGCAAAGCCCUUGUAAACGGGCACAAAAAAAUAUAAAGUAUUCAACACAAAGGAAGCAGAAAAGAACAAAACCACAUAUAUUUACAAUAUCUACAUGGGGUUGCCCCCAAUUACAUUGGCCCAAGGCCGGAAAAGAAAACAAAAAAAAAAGAGAGAAAAUGAAAACUAAACAAACAUUACAAAUUUUCCCAUUUGUUCACUCGGCACCCCCAGCGCCCCCUUUAACAUUAUCAGCACCCUCGGCGACAUCAUCACCCCCAGGCGUAGACAGGUCAAAAUCAUAGUCGAGGCGGGCUUCACGAGCCUUUUGGCGUGCCUCAUCAUAUGUGGCCUCAGACACGACGCGGCUUCCCACAACCGCAUGUACACAUCGAUCCGGGCUUGGGCAUACGUCCAAAGCUCACGAGCAUGACUAAAAGAAGCAACCUGGUCCCUCAGGCGCUGGUUCUCGGCCUCCAAGGCCGCAAUCCGGUCUGCUCCAGUACGGGCGUACUGCUCACAGACAGCAACGCGCCCCUCCAACGUCCGCUCUCGAAAGGCAGUGAUGGCCCUCUCUAAUCCACGCUCCCUUUCUCGGGCAUGGUUGGUCGCCUGCAGUGUUUCAACCCUCGCCAGGGCGUCCUCUGCAUGCUUCCUUGAAGUGGCAGCCUCAGUCUCUAAGGCAGCCACUUGCCUAGUAAAAGCUUCAGCGGCCUCUGCUGCAGCAACCAUAUUUUGGCGCUCCCUCUCAGCAACCGCCCUUCUCAGCAUCCAUCCCCUCGUUUGCUUGGAGGAGCUGCCCCUCAAGAGCAGUUACCCUGCUGAGCGUCUGUUGCAUAUGAAUCUCCCUCCGCUCCAGCUCUUCUACUAGCUCCCGGUUCUGCGGAUUGUUCCUUAUGCAUUCACGCAAGCCGCAGCACCGGUCAUGGUAGCGGCGAUAAUUCUCCAACAACCGCAAUAAAGCAGCCGAGCGGACGUUAGCCUGCCUGAUGCUCUCCACCUCCACCAAAAAUGUCUACAACAAACAGAGCGACAGUUAAUACAAGAAGACAUGCUAAAAAAGAAAACAAACCAAAGUUUUAUACAUACCUUUAUACUCAGGGCGGCCACUCGCCCAUCAACCUAACGUCUGAGAUGCCUCUCAGGGACGUGCUCUCCGCUUCCGAACACAGAACCCCGAACAGCAUCACCAGGUUCUCCUCCUCGAGUAGUAGGUUCAGGUCGUUAGGGAUCUCCAACUAACGGUAAUCCCCUUCGGCCUGCAGCGCUGGGUGGGUAUAACCCUCCUAAAAAAGAUGGACGUCCUCGGGAUCCAUAUCAGACUCCGAAUCGUCACCCUCUCCUAAGGCGUUCCUUCCUUCCGACGCCCUGGAAGUCGAGGCCUCCGCCACCCGAGACGUCGAGGCGCCCGCAUUCGCCAAAAUGUCGGCGCCUGCAUUCUCCACCAAAACAGUUGUCGAGGAACUACCUCCCCUCUCCGCACAGGAACAGAAACUUGAAUCGCCGAAGCGAUUGUGUCACCUUGGCCUAAGCCAACCGGGAAACCCCCACUGAGUGCUCACCCUCAGGGGCAAGGUUCGUUGCGCCCUCCCCUUCCGCCGAUGGCGAAGAGUCUAAACUAAUCACCACCGGAAGAGCCGGGGUGAACGCCACCCUGCGUCGAACCAGCGGCUUCCCAUCUUCUUCCUUAUCUUCAUUCGGUGAUCACUCCGGCCUGGAAGCACAACCCCUGGAGACUCCUCAACUCGGGGCACGGGCCGUACCGGAGAGUGUGCAGUCGAAGACUCUACCGAUGUCGCCCUCGGAACCAGAUGAGGCGCCAACGUUGUAAUCAAUCGGGCAGUCGCCCCUGGCAUGCGGAAAGCAAGCUGAGGAGCCCUCCUGCCCCGUGGUCGUUCUGACCAGCCAAAGAAGGAGGGUUAGGCCAAAUAAACUAAGGACUACGAAAAGAGAUCAAUAAACGGCAAUCAGAUUCUUACCAGCAGCUGGCCUACGGCCAUGGACCUCCCUGAAAGACGCCUACAUGCGAAUCCCCGUUGUAAUAGGGAGCACGGCCUCGACCCACUCACGGAUGCCAGAGAAUGGCGCCGGUGGCGCACCUCCUGCUGUAAUACAAGAAGAAGAUCAGUACAUACAAACAUAAAUAAGGGCAUUUAACCAAAGGAAAUCAGGGCCAUCGUAAAAGAAACUUACGAGCAAGGUUCCACUCCUCUUGGAAGCCGGUAGCGCAGGCCACCAGGUGCUCGGUCCUGAUGUAAAAGAAAUGCUCGUAAGGACGGGUAGCGACCUCGUCAUCGAGCUCCGCAAUUAAGCCUUCAGCCCCACGAGGGACCAGCCGAAUCAUGGUACCACGUACCCUCUGAGGGGCGUAAAAAGUUAGCACGUGCCCAAGUGUAAUCUUCCUCCGUGCAGCUUUGCAUAUUUGAUCACCAUCGCCAAUAAUUUGUAGCAAGAAGGGACGAACUGACCAGGGCACACCCUGUAGUAACGGCAAAUGUCCACCACCAGCAUGGGGAGAGGAAGCCUAAUUCCCAGCUUGAAAGGGUAGGCAUAAAAGACGCAGUACCCUUGGUGGUCAACGUGUACCCUAUUGCCGCUCCUUGCCAAGACGAUAUCAACGAAGCGAGGAAUAUCACACUGCUCCUUCAGCUGAGAAAUGCCAACUUCCCCCAUCAGUGGAGCCUCAUCCACUUGAUAUUCUCCCUCGAAGUCGGUAACAUCGGCCGUCAUACCGCCGGGUAGGGAAAGAAUGUCUGUCGCCGACGGGAAUCGGUCAACAUUCGGCGAAUCGGUGGUUCACCGUAGAGGGGCCCGCAGCCGCCGCAACCGCCACCAGAUCUAUACCAGAACGAGAACUGCUCGCCAUUAUCAGUAUAAUGAGAAAAAAUGGCAAAAUUCACUGAAAAACAAGAGAAUACGACGAUCCGACAAAAAUGACGGAGAAUGAAUACGAGGAGUAAAAGACUAGAUAAUCUGAAAACAAGAAGGGCUAUCUCUCUCAGAAUUCCACUCAGACAAAUAUCGGAAAAGUGAGAACUAAACGAUACAACCCCUUAUUUAUAGACAAAGAAUAAAUGACCUUCACAAAUCCUAAAGGUCAGCAUUAACUACCUGACCAACUGCAAACGGUUAAGGCCUACAGUGACGGGCACCAUUAUGACAGAUACCACUAAACGGUCAUUCAACCGUCAAUCGAUGCUUCCCCCAUGAAACGGAUGUGACGACCUCGAGGUACCAUGGGCACGCUCCAUGCGUCACAAUGCAUAUGAUGUCCCCCUUAUACGCGGUAAGCAUGAUCGUAUUCUCUCCAGACACGCGUAAAUAGCUACGACCAUCUCCAAAGUAAACAUGGCUACGACCAUCUCUAAAGUAAAAAUGGCUACGGCCAUCUCAGAAGUAAAAAUGGCUACGCCUAUCUCAAAAUUGAAAAUGGCCACGGCCAUAUCCAAAGUAAAAGUGGUUACGGCCAUCUCAGGGGUAAAAAUGGCUACGGCCAUAUCCAAAGCAAAAAUAGCCACGGCCAUCUCAGAAGUAAAAAUGGCCACGACCAUCUCGGAAGUACAAAUGGCUACGGUCACAUCGGAAGAUAAAAUGGCUACCGCCAUCUCCAAAAAAUAAAAUGGCUACAGCCAUCUCCAACAGAUAAAACGACUACGGCCAUUUCUAAAUCAAAAAUGGCUACGACCACCUCCCAAGUGAAAAUGGUUACGGCCAUUUCCGAAGAAUAAGGGGCUACGAUCGCCCCCAAUACAUAAAUGACUACAGUUAUAGGUAGAAUCCGCUCAUCGAGCUCAGCCUAGGCACGCCCUUAAUAAGCGGAGGGACUAUCUGUAUGGGUCAAAACUUGACCUCAUGAUAAUGAAUGAGAUCAACGCGUUUAUUAGAGCCUAUUCACGAUUAAUAAAUGGUACGACCAUUUAUUAACAAGAUUGUCGGGAGGUUACCUAAUGUGACAGCUGAGGCCACAGACUGGCCGUCCUUACGAGGGCAUCCCCUCUAUGUUGUCUCAGUUCCUAGGCACCAGCUGACAAAUUUUCUAGUUGUAAAAACUAAGAGAAAGAACCCUAAAAAGGGGGCUUCUUCUUCUUCUUCACACCUCCUUCUGAAAGAUGAGAGAAUACAUCAUUGUAAGCCUCUGAACCUCUCCAUGGAGAAGCAGACAGAACCGACAUUAUUAAUAAAAGAUCCUCAUCCUACCCCCUUAAUCUAUAGUUGUUGUCUCUUGUAUUUUAUUCCUUUGGUCUUUGGAUUUAUUACGAUCUGCUAUGAAUAAUCAGAAUAAUAUGAAGAUGACCUCGAAAUGGAAAUACGAUGGUUCCUUUAGCUCCGUUAGGUGAUUUUGGGGUUGAGAGAAUGAUUGGAAUAUAUUUUGGAUGACUAUAGCUUAUUAAGGCUAGAAAUGCCGAAAGUUGAUAUUUGGGGGUUCUGGUCCGAUAGUGAAUUUUUUAUCCGAGUGUUGAAACGGAAUUCCGGAAUUGUUGUAGCACCUUCAUGUCAUUUGGGACGUGCAUGCAAAAUUUCAGGUCAAUCGGACGAGUGUUGUUUAGGUUUUGGAUCGAAAGCGUAUUUUGGAUAAACUUGAGGUUCUUAGGCUUAAAUCUUUGAUUUAAUCGGGUUUUUGGUGUUGUUUUGGAGGUUUUAUGGAUUGGUACAAGUUCAAAUAACGCGUUAGAAGGUAUUGGUGUUUUGGUUGGGGUCCCGGGGGGCCUCGAGAUGAUUUCGAAUAGUUGACGGGGUGGAUUUUGAAGUGUUGCAGCAGCUGAUGUUUUUCCCUUCUGGUAUUUUCGCUUAUGCGGUUAGUGAGCCGCAGAAGUGGAGCCAAAUAAGCGUCCUGUCUCACCGCAGAAGGGAUGUGGGGUGUGGCCUUCAGAGACCGUAGAAGCGGUCAACUACCCGCAAAGGCGAAACCGCAGAUGCGGUUGUACGUCCAAAAAAGCGGACUCUGGCCCCCUUAAUGAAAUCCGCAGAAGCGGAUCCUUUGUCCGCAUGUGCGGGACCGCAGAAGCGAAAAUUGUUCUUCUGAUAAGGGUUUAUCCGAGGUUUAAUUUCAAAAGUUGGAAAAUCAAUAGAGAGCUCGAGAGAAGGUGAUUUUGAGUGGGUUUUAAAGAGAAGAUCAUUGGGUAACGUUGCAAUGGAAAUUAAAAGAUAAAAUUGGAAUGAAAGAUAAUAAUAUAAUAUAGAAGAGAAGGAAGAAUAUAAAAAAGUUUGGGGGAGAAAAAGGGAAUGAAUGGAAUAAGUUGUAUUUAAAAUGAAAAAAUUUUCAUUUUGGGGAUAAAAGUGGGGUAUGGUCUUAGACUAGCAAAUUGUGGUGGAAAAACAUACUAUUGACUAACUGUGCUGCUACUCCUAUAGUUCAAAACCAAGUUAUAUCUUCAUUUUUCGAACAACUUAUUUCAUAGACGAGCAACAUCAUACAUGAUAUACAGCCACUACAGACGAAACUUGGCAUUCAAAGUGUACAUAAUAUCAAAUUCCAUGAUAGAGUUUCAGUCAAAAAUCGAGAAAAUAUCAACAUAUAACACUAAACAAUCAGAUUUUUAUUUUAUAGAUUUGGCAUAUAACUGCACAAGAAUCUGACAUACCCGAUAAUAGAAAUCGGCAGGAACUGACUCAAAAGAAAAUUUUGAAACAGCCUCGACUAGAGCUCAGCAACAAAUUGAAAGAAAGACAGCAAGAAACAGCAGAGUUCCCAGCUAGCUCUAUUUCAGAAUCCCAAAAAUACAAAUGCAAAUGUUUUCGAAUCCUCAGAACCAACUACAACUUUUUUUCUUGUUUUCUGAAUUAUUUGGAAUGCAAAAAUCGAUCUCAGCUCUACUGCUUUUCCUUGAAUUUCAAAACCUUUUGGCUUUUCUUUUUGGAUCUAGAUUUGCACUCUAUAAUAUCUAUGUAUUACAGGAUGUGUGUGUAUCCUUUUUCAAUUUUGAGAGGAGAUUUCUCAAAAAUCUGAAGGGGAAGACGUUGGUUUCUCUUAGGAAGGGAAGGGAGGGUCUGAUGGCUAAGCUCUCUGACGUGUGGUGUGUUCUUUGGUGAUGGUGAAAAUGGAGAAGAAGCUAGGAGGGAGAUGGUGCGCCGUUCACUCUUAGAAGGGGGAGGGGGUGAGAGGGGGGCUCUUUGGCUCUAAGGCCUCAUUUAUUUGUAUUUAAUGAAUAUUUGAAUCUUAAUUAUUCAAAUCUCAAACAUUAAGUGUAUUUAUUUUUAAAGUUUGAAUUUUAAUUAUUCAGAUCUUAA